rnacentral:rRNA from 1 species
GGGGGGGGGGGGGGGGGGGGGGGGGGGGGGGGGGGCGGGCGGGGGGGCGGGGCGGGCGGGGUGCUCGAGGGGCGAACGGGUGGGUAAGACGGGGGUGGUCUGCCCUGCACGUCGGGAUACGCCUGGGAGACUGGGGCGAAUACCGGAUAGGAGCCAUUGUUAGUGUGAUGGUUGGAAAGUGUUUUCGGUGUAGGAUGAGCUCGCGGCCUAGCAGCGUGUUGGUGGGGUAAUGGCCUACCAAGGCGGCGACGGGGAGCCGGCCUGAGAGGGUGGACGGCCACAUUGGGACUGAGAUACGGCCCAGACUCCUACGGGAGGCAGCAGUGGGGAAUAUUGCACAAUGGGCGCAAGCCUGAUGCAGCGACGCCGCGUGGGGGAUGACGGCCUUCGGGUUGUAAACUCCUUUCGCUAGGGACGAAGCUUUUUGUGACGGUACCUAGAUAAGAAGCACCGGCUAACUACGUG